rnacentral:rRNA from 1 species
UACGGAGGGAGCUAGCGUUGUUCGGAAUUACUGGGCGUAAAGCGCACGUAGGCGGCGACUCAAGUCAGAGGUGAAAGCCCGGGGCUCAACCCCGGAACUGCCUUUGAAACUAGGUUGCUAGAAUCCUGGAGAGGUGAGUGGAAUUCCGAGUGUAGAGGUGAAAUUCGUAGAUAUUCGGAAGAACACCAGUGGCGAAGGCGACUCACUGGACAGGUAUUGACGCUGAGGUGCGAAAGCGUGGGGAGCAAACAGGG